AAUCAGAAGAAAUACAACUGUUUCAGUCUGAUCUGAGUGGAGGAGAAUUGUGUCCUCAAUCACACCUGUCCAGCAUUGGUGUAACAUCAGUUCAGGUGUUUUCAGGGUGAAGAAAGACAUGAACAUGGGUAGAGGGAGUUGGUGGGGGAGCAACAAAGUCUGUGAUUCCCAGUGUAACAGGAAUUGUAAACAUAAUGAGGUGUCAUAGGUUUGAGUUCCUGCAGGUCGACAUCUUGUUGGUCCUGAUCAGAGUUAAUCACCUGCAGCUGCCAACAAUCGACAACAGAAGAAGAAAAGACAUCAGACAGCAGGAGAUAGAGAGAUAACAGAUUAAAGAGAUGCUCUUGCUCUCUCUCUGUUAUUAUAGCGAUGUGUGAUACGUCCUCCAUCACCCUGACGAAACUCUGACAGGAGGAUCUUUAAGGAUUUAAAGUGUCAAACCUGCAAGAAGAGUAAUGUCUGUUUGAGGAUAUAUGAGGAGAGAGAGGAUGUCAAACUGAAUCCUGCUGCCUGAUGGGACGUCUGACUUUACUUUACUCUGCUUUAUUGUACUUUACUUCACCUCAACUCCUCUCACUUUACACCAAACACUCCAUGUCAAUUAACUUACUGUGUUUUUACUUUACCUCACUUACUUUGUACUUUGACUUUUUCCCUUAACUUCACACUAAUUCAUUUAAAUAUCUUAAUUGACGUUGUAACUCUACAGCUCUUUGCUUCAUGUCACUUUCUUUACUCUAACGUCAUUUUAUGUAACUUAACUCUCUGACACAUCUACUUAAUUUACGUGACUUCACGUUACUUUCUUUAAAUCACUUUGUUGUAUUUUUACAUCAAAUCAGAUCCUGUCAAGUACGUUAACCCCACCUAACCUUAUGUUUAUGUUCUUCAUUUCACAUUCACCUCAUUUUACUUUACAUCAUGUUGCAUCACCUCUCCUCGGCCUACACCACCUGACUUUACUGCACUAGUUUAUUUUCACUUCCCCUCAGAGCUUUGUAAGAUUUUCUGUUGAUGUAAUUCAACAGCAAGCUGCAGUAUAUACUGGGAAUGUUUCUGACAUCAGAAGGGUGUCUGAGGUCACUAAGAUCGACUGCUACAAAUAUCUGAGUUUCUUUCCACCUGUGACUGACAAAAGGAGUGGGUGAUUCAACCAGAGGAGGAGGAGGACGAUGAGGAGGAUAAGAAUGAGGAGGAUAAGAAUGAGGAGGAUGAGGAGGAUGAAGAACUGCGAUGUCACCACUGACACCUUAAACACCUGGACUUGUAUUUGAUCCUUGUGUUCAUCAGUUUAUUGGAUCCCGUGUUAAAUUCAGGCCAACAUUAUGUCUGUUACAUAAAAUCCAGUUUACUCUGGAACUUCUGUUAUAAAAGAGUUUCUUUUUUUCUGCAGACUGUAGCAGGAAACGUUUCCUGAGGAAAAACAUAAACCGGCUGAGUCCUCAUUACUGAACCCACUGUUUUUGCUUUUACAUUUCUCUACACAGUUAUAUAAAACCAGUCCAAAGCUCCAGGGCCUGUCUGUCCCAGAGCAUCCUGGGUAAUGUAGGAAAUCACUGACUGAAGCAGAACUGGUGUUUAAAACAUGACGGACUGUA